AGCACCUGGGCCCUGUUUCAGAAAGCCGGUUUAGUGCAAACUCUGAGGUUCCCAGGCGUGAUUGGCUGUAUAGAUGGCACUCACAUUCCAAUCAUUGCCCCUUCAGUAAAUGAAGGAGACUAUGUGAACAGGAAGUCUUUCCACAGCAUUAAUGUACAGAUCAUAUGUGAUGCUGCCAACAUUAUCACAAAUGUGGAAGCCAAGUGGCCAGGCUCUGUUCAUGACUCACGAAUUUUUCGUGAAUGUACACUGAGCACAAAAUUUGGACAUGGUGAGUUGAAAAUACUUUAAAAUAUAUAAAGACCAAUUGCUACAGGGACAUUUGAACUGAAGUGUAUCCUUCUGUCUUAGGAGAGUUCACUGGCUACUUGCUUG